UGGGGAAUAUUGCACAAUGGGCGCAAGCCUGAUGCAGCCAUGCCGCGUGUGUGAAGAAGGCCUUCGGGUUGUAAAGCACUUUCAGCGAGGAGGAAGGUGGUGGACUUAAUACGUUCAUCAAUUGACGUUACUCGCAGAAGAAGCACCGGCUAACUCCGUGCCAGCAGCCGCGGUAAUACGGAGGGUGCAAGCGUUAAUCGGAAUUACUGGGCGUAAAGCGCACGCAGGCGGUUUGUUAAGUCAGAUGUGAAAUCCCCGGGCUCAACCUGGGAACUGCAUUUGAAACUGGCAAGCUAGAGUCUCGUAGAGGGGGGUAGAAUUCCAGGUGUAGCGGUGAAAUGCGUAGAGAUCUGGAGGAAUACCGGUGGCGAAGGCGGCCCCCUGGACGAAGACUGACGCUCAGGUGCGAAAGCGUGGGGAGCAAACAGAUUAGAUACCCUGGUAGUCCACGCUGUAAAACGAUGUCGAUUUUGGAGGUUGUGCCCUUGAGGCGUGGCUUCCGGAGCUAACGCGUUAAAUCGACCGCCUGGGGAGUACGGCCACAAGGUUAAAACUCAAAGG
rnacentral:rRNA from 1 species